rnacentral:rRNA from 1 species
UACGGGGGGUGCAAGCGUUGUUCGGAAUUACUGGGCGUAAAGGGCUCGUAGGCGGCCAAUUAAGUCAGACGUGAAAUCCCUCGGCUUAACCGGGGAACUGCGUCUGAUACUGGAUGGCUGGAGUUUGGGAGAGGGAUGCGGAAUUCCAGGUGUAGCGGUGAAAUGCGUAGAUAUCUGGAGGAACACCGGUGGCGAAGGCGGCAUCCUGGACCAAUACUGACGCUGAGGAGCGAAAGCCAGGGGAGCAAACGGG